rnacentral:rRNA from 1 species
GAUGAACGCUAGCGGCAGGCCUAAUACAUGCAAGUCGAACGGUGUCUUCGGACAUAGUGGCGCACGGGUGCGUAACACGUAUGCAACCUACCUUACAUUGGGGGAUAGCCUUUCGAAAGGGAGAUUAAUACCGCAUAAGACAGUAGCUGGGCAUCCAGCAGCUGUUAAAGAUUUAUCGAUGUAAGAUGGGCAUGCGUCCAAUUAGUUAGUUGGCGAGGUAACGGCUCACCAAGACUUUGAUUGGUAGGGGAACUGAGAGGUCAAUCCCCCACACUGGCACUGAGCUACGGGCCAGACUCCUACGGGAGGCAGCAGUAGGGAAUAUUGGGCAAUGGACGCAAGUCUGACCCAGCCAUGCCGCGUGCAGGAUGAAGGCGUUAUGCGUUGUAAACUGCUUUUAUACAGGAAGAAACGACUCUUGCGAGAGGCAUUGACGGUACUGUAUGAAUAAGCACCGGCUAACUCCGUGCCAGCCGCCGCGGUAAUAC